AUCUGCCUACCUUACCAAUUUAUUUGCCUCCUUCUUCGUCAUUGGAUUUGAAUGUUUCAUUAGCUUUCCAUAACAGAGAGAGAAGAGGGAAAGAGAGAUAAAGAACUUAUGGAAAUUUUUGGCUAUGGGAGGUUUGGCAAGAGUAAAAAUAAUUAUUUACAAGAUAAAAAAUAAUAAUAGCAUGUUUUUUCCUGCCUAUUCCUCCCAUGCCAAUGAUUUCCUUUUGUUCCUCUCUUUCCCUUCUUGCUCUGCACUCAUUGAUGAUGAGAUAAGACAGAGAAGCUGCCGAAAUUUUUGGACAAAACUAGACAGAGCGAAUCUUUAGUACUGCGAGAAAGAUGCGUAGCAUUGGCAACCGCAGACAACUUUUUUAUAUGGUCGGUCCCAAAAUCUUCCUCUUGAAAGCCCUAGCAAAGCAAAUUUGCAAAAACGCAUAUCCGCAGAGAAAAAAAAAUUGAAAACAGAGAGACGGGAAAGGUAGCAAAGAGUUAGGAGGUUAUUAGGAAUGGGCGGAUGGGAUAAGAAAUUUAAUAAAGUUCAUAGAUCUUACUAUGAACUAACAAGUUUCUUUCCUAUUCCUCCCAUUCCAUUCAAUUUCCUAAUUUCCUUCCUUUCCCUCUGUUCUCUCUCUCCUACUAAUCAUACAUUUUCCAUCUCAAAAAGAAGCACUAUCAAGAUUAACACACAGGAAAAAUGGAUCCGGAAAUUUGCUAAGUAUUAAACUUUGCAGCUUUUGAUUGUAGGUAACGUUAUUUGAAUCAAACUGCAUCUUUAGAUUUGGACCUUUACAAUUUUUCAUCCAUUAAAGAUGGCAAAUGAAAUCCCGAACUUAGAAGCUGAAAUUUCUCCGUUGUAUAUUACCAAUGGUAAAGGCGACUCGAAGAAACCUGUACACUAUAUUUGAGACCAAAGAACGAACAAACAAAACAAUAAAGGUUUAUUUUGUAAGAAAUAACAGCAAAUACUAAUUAGUUUUUUUA